CUGAACUUAAGCAUAUCAAUAAGCGGAGGAAAAGAAACUAACAAGGAUUCCCCUAGUAACGGCGAGUGAAGCGGGAAGAGCUCAAAUUUAAAAUCUGGCAGUGUAUUCUGUC
rnacentral:rRNA from 1 species